UACGAGGGGGGCAAGCGUUGUUCGGAAUUAUUGGGCGUAAAGGGCGCGUAGGCGGUUUUGUAAGUCGUGUGUGAAAUCUUCGGGCUCAACCCGAAGCCUGCACACGAAACUGCAGGGCUUGAGUAUGGGAGAGGUGAGUGGAAUUCCUGGUGUAGCGGUGAAAUGCGUAGAUAUCAGGAGGAACACCUGUGGCGAAAGCGGCUCACUGGACCAUUACUGACGCUGAGGCUCGAAAGCUAGGGGAGCAAACAGG
rnacentral:rRNA from 1 species